CCAACCUCCCUCGUGGGUGGUUGUGAGGAUUAAAUGGGUUACAAUAUUCACAUGCUUCGAGCAGCUCCGGGCAUUAUCAGCGUUCUUGGUGUUAGAGGUGGGGAAGGCCCACUUGGUUCUUUGGUGGAGGGGCCUUCUCUGCAUCCUUGACGUUAUUGCCACAGCAGCGUCUUCACUGGAGGGGAGCACUCCCAGACCAACAUUGCACCGGGGCCCCGAGUGUAAAUGGUGUUUCCUCAGCUUUCAUCGCGGCUGGGAGUGGCCUGAUGUCUCCACUCACCUCCAGACUGGAUGUUUUGUGAAGAAAAGAAGCUACCCAGGAGGGCUGUCAGACUGGAGCAGGCAUGAGCAUCCCCUGGCAGGCUUGCGAGAGCACAGAUUGCUGUUCUGAUUCGUCGGCCUGGAUUGGAGCCUGAGGAUUUGAAUUUCUAACCAGUACACAGGGGCUGCUGGUGCUGCUGGUUUGGGGACCAGACCUGGAGAAGCUCCGAUGUAACUCACCGGAAGUCAGGACAACAAUUGUUCGCAGUGGAAUAUGAUCCUGAUACCAGGCCAUGUGUGAGAGAAACACUGGGGCUUGGGAUAGAAAUUAAGUUCACUUUAGAAAUACAAAGUGAGAAUUUCUAAUA